UUAGAACAGCUGCAAAACCUUUUGGUCUAAUUAUUCCUUCUGUUUAUAACCUAUGAAGAGCUCUCAUUAGUGUGCCUGUAUCAAUGGGAAACAGCCCCUGAUGAAGCACUUUGUGAAACAGCUACUUAUCCCAGGGUGGCUGUCAUGUGCUCUCCCUUGCUUGAUUUGUCAUCCACCACCAGUCAUCACAGAGCAUGUCACUUGCUCUUUUUUGAUCAAGGACCUAUGAUCCCAACUGCAUGUACUUACAAUAUCUCACAGAGCAUGUCACUUGCUUUUUUCUGAUUCAAGGACUCAUGACCUGAACUGUAUGUAUUUAUUACAUUUCCUUAUCCUGAAGACAUCUUGGAUUUUGCCUGGAUACCUAUAUAUACAACUUACCAACUUUACUAUUUUUGCAUUUGUUGCUUUUUAUAUUUAUUGGUCCUGUAUGUUGUAUUCUUACUUUGUAUUGUGUCAUUCAAUUUUUGUAUGUGUUAUAAGAUGUUUUCAUUGUGGGGUGGCAAUUCAUGUAGUUUGACCACAAUUGGAUAAGGUGUUAGUUUACCAUUGUUUUGGUGACAUGCCUGUCUUGAGUGUCCACAUUUGGCCAGGUGGCUUUGGCAAUUUCAUAAAGGUGAUCUUUGUUAUAUAUUC